rnacentral:rRNA from 1 species
AUUGAACGCUGGCGGCAGGCCUAACACAUGCAAGUCGAGCGAGUGGCGGACGGGUGAGUUAUGCCCGGGAAACUGCCCGAUGGAGGGGGACAACUACUGGUAACGGUAGCCAAUACCGCAUUCCACCAGAGGUGUCCAGAUGGGAUUAGCUUGUUGGUGGGGUAACGGCUCACCAAGGCGACGAUCCCUAGCUGGUCUGAGAGGAUGACCAGCCACACUGGAACUGAGACACGGUCCAGACUCCUACGGGAGGCAGCAGUGGGGAAUAUUGCACAAUGGGCGCAAGCCUGAUGCAGCCAUGCCGCGUGUGUGAAGAAGGCCUUCGGGUUGUAAAGUACUUUCAGCGGGGAGGCGUUACCCGCAGAAGAAGCACCGGCUAACUCCGUGCCAGCAGCCGCGGUAAUUC